rnacentral:rRNA from 1 species
GGUUAAGUUAAUAAGGGCGCACGGUGGAUGCCUUGGCACUAGGAGCCGAAGAAGGACGUGACAAACGACGAUAUGCCUUGGGUAGCUGUAAGUAAGCGAUGAUCCAGGGAUUUCCGAAUGGGGGAACCCAACAGGUACUACCUGUUACCCGUAUCUGUUAAGGAUGUGAGGAGGAAGACGCAGUGAACUGAAACAUCUAAGUAGCUGCAGGAAGAGAAAGCAAAAGCGAUUGCCUUAGUAGCGGCGAGCGAAACGGCAGGAGGGCAAACCGAAGAGUUUACUCUUCGGGGUUGUAGGACUGCAAUGUGGACUCAAAGAUUAUAGAAGAAUGAUUUGGGAAGAUCAGCCAAAGAGAGUAAUAGCCUCGUAUUUAAAAUAGUCUUUGUACCUAGCAGUAUCCUGAGUACGGCGGGACACGAGAAAUCCCGUCGGAAUCUGGGAGGACCAUCUCCCAACCCUAAAUACUCCCUAGUGACCGAUAGUGAACCAGUACCGUGAGGGAAAGGUGAAAAGCACCCCGGGAGGGGAGUGAAAUAGAACCUGAAACCGUGUGCCUACAACAAGUUCGAGCCCGUUAAUGGGUGAGAGCG